GACGAACGCUGGCGGCGUGCUUAACACAUGCAAGUCGAACGGAAAGGCCCUGCUUUUGUGGGGUGCUCGAGUGGCGAACGGGUGAGUAACACGUGAGUAACCUGCCCUUGACUUUGGGAUAACUUCAGGAAACUGGGGCUAAUACCGGAUAGGAGCUCCUGCUGCAUGGUGGGGGUUGGAAGUUUCGGCGGUUGGGGAUGGGCCUGCGGCUUAUCAGCUUGUUGGUGGGGUAGUGGCUUACCGAGGCUUUGACGGGUAGCCGGCCUGAGAGGGUGACCGGCCACAUUGGGACUGAGAUACGGCCCAGACUCCUACGGGAGGCAGCAGUGGGGAAUAUUGCACAAUGGGCGGAAGCCUGAUGCAGCAACGCCGCGUGCGGGAUGACGGCCUUCGGGUUGUAAACCGCUUUCGCCUGUGACGAAGCGUGAGUGACGGUAAUGGGUAAAGAAGCACCGGCUAACUACGUG
rnacentral:rRNA from 1 species